rnacentral:rRNA from 1 species
GUCCACGCUGUAAACGAUGAAUACUCGAUGCACGGCCUUCAGUGGGUGUGUGUCCAAGCGAAAGCAGUAAGUAUUCCACCUGGGAAGUACGCCCGCAAGGGUGAAACUCAAAGGAAUUGACGGGGGCCCGCACAAGAGGUGGAGCAUGUGGUUUAAUUAGAUGGUACGCGAGGAACCUUACCCAGGCUCGAAUCACUUUGGAAGGAUGCAGAAAUGUGUCCGUCAGCAAUGACCGGAGGGAAGGUGCUGCAUGGCUGUCGU